UAUAUUUACAUUUUAGAUCAGUGAUUUUCAAUCUUUUAACGUCGGAGUUCACAUAUUUCAAAAAUGUUCAUCUUUUACUUAAUUUAAUACGUGGACACAAAUGGGAUUAGAAACUGUGGAGCUGUGUGGAUAUGCUGAGUAUUCAUUUUUCACUUCCAAUCAAACAUUUGAAAUAUUCAUGGUUUUGAAUGAGGUUUUAAGAACAUAGUCACUGUUAAUCAAAUAAACAAAAUAUGACGUGGCUUUGGCGGUUGUUGUGGUUUUGAUCCGCGGAAAGCAUGUCAUAUGAUUGUGAAUACUCGCACGGGUGUGGAGCCACACAAGUAGGUUGCUUGGAAGUAUACGACAAGGACGUUCUUAACCUUCAUUGGUUGGAUGCGACUUGGUGAAUCCAAUCAUAUAGAGUCAUUGUAGAGUUGCUUGAACAACAGUCGGAACAUGAGACGCUGUUAGAUAUGCGACGUUCGUGACACCAGUGUUGAUAAUAUUCAUGCUCCACUGAAGUUGUAAUACAGAAAAUUUGGUUGAAGUUAAUUUGGUGUGAAUGAAGGGAAGUUUAUUGUAAUCUAUUUGUUUGAAAAUAGUUUGAUAAAUGUGUGAAACAACAUCAAAUUAACUAUCAAGGGGCUAGUUGAAAGUCAUUCUGCAAGACCAAUCAUAAAUCAGGCUUCUAAAUCAGUAUUAUUUAAGACUUAAAGUAUAGAGUAAGGAUGGCAAAUUAUUUAUAUAUAAAAUAAUACAUUUUUUUUUUUUAUAGAAUUUAGUCUAUGCUAUCACAUUGUUUUAUGUCUAUUAUGUAAUCUAUGUUUUUAACAAACUUAGAAUUUAAUUUUCUGGAAAACAUCAAUGAUAAUAAAAAA